rnacentral:rRNA from 1 species
UACGUAGGGGGCAAGCGUUGUCCGGAUUUAUUGGGCGUAAAGAGCGUGUAGGCGGCCAGACAAGUCUGCUGUGAAAACUCGAGGCUCAACCUCGAGCUGUCGGCGGAAACUGUCUGGCUAGAGUCCGGAAGAGGAGAGUGGAAUUCCCGGUGUAGCAGUGAAAUGCGUAGAGAUCGGGAGGAACAUCAGUUGCGAAGGCGGCUCUCUGGACCAGCACUGACACUGAGGCACGAAAGCCAGGGGAGCGAACGGG